AUUGAACGCUGGCGGCAGGCCUAACACAUGCAAGUCGAGCGAGCGGCGGACGGGUGAGUAAUGUCUGGGGAUCUGCCCGAUAGAGGGGGAUAACUACUGGAAACGGUGGCUAAUACCGCAUACCAUCGGAUGUGCACAGAUGGGAUUAGCUAUUAGGUGGGGUAACGGCUCACCUAGGCGACGCUCCCUAGCUGGUCUGAGAGGAGGACCAGCCACCAUGGGACUGAGACACGGGCCAGACUCCUCCGGGAGGCAGCAGUGGGGAAUAUUUCACAAUGGGCGCAAGCCUGAUGCAGCCAUGCCGCGUGUAUGAAGAAGGCCUUAGGGUUGUAAAGUAAUUUCAGCGGGGAGGCGUUACCCGCAGAAGAAGCACCGGCUAACUCCGUGCCAGCAGCCGCGGUAAUUC
rnacentral:rRNA from 1 species